rnacentral:lncRNA from 1 species
AUUGCUAAUGGGGCCCGAACCUGAUGUAUUUGUCGGUCUGCUCCUGUUUGAUGUAUUCUACAGUCUAAAUGCAGUAUAGUAUUUGAUUGUUUAUUCUGUGGUUUCGUAUGCAUGAAUCACUAUUUAAUCUAUUAUGGUUUGAAUUAUUGUGAACCCGAUGUUGUGUUGCCUUAUUUGUGUGCGUUGCUGGUUUACGUAUUCAUGUUGAUUGGAUAAUUGAGACUAAGAAAAAUAAAAAGGGUAUGUGAAUUUAUAAAUGGAUAAGUUCGACAGCCUCACUAGAUAUCCUGGGAGGUGGUGGACGGACCGGGUCCAUAGGGAACCCUACCGGGAAUGAGGUCUCUCAUAUCGGACGGUGUAUGGAGACUUUAAAUGUUUUGGCGCUCAUACCGGACGAGGUAUGGGGACGACCCGCUUCACCUUCAUACCGUAUGGGGUAUUGAGGUUUAUGGUUUUGGUGCUCAUACCGGAUGGGGUAUAGGAACAGCCCUGGAAUUAAUAUGAAUGGUUCACGUGUAGCGGGGACCCCUAUGGAUCCCCAUGGAUACUAGUAAG